GCCAGGUGUGGUGGUGCAUGCCUGUAAUCUCAACAGCUCAGGAGGCUGAGGUAGGAGGAUCACAAUCUCAAAGCUAGCCUCAGCAACUAAGUGAGACCCUGUCUCAA
rnacentral:sRNA from 1 species